CUCUCUCCAGUGGCGACAUCUCCCACUUCCCAGUCGGAGACAACUCUUCCCUCUCCCUGGUUGGCAUCGGUGACAUCUCCUUCUCUCUCCCCAGUCAGUGACAUCUACUCUUUUCAAUUGACGCUUCUCUCCCCCACUUCACUGACGACUGCUGGAGACAACCCUUGCCUCUCCCCAAUCGGCGUCGGCGACAUCUCCUUUGACUGGAACUCUCUUCAGGUUUGCAAUUAAAUUUUUUGAUAAUCAAGAUCUUUUAUGUGCAUGUUGUUAAAGAAUUUUUAGUUGCUAUUAAAGAUUUUUAGAAUUUAUGAACUAUUAAUUUGAUUAU
rnacentral:lncRNA from 1 species